rnacentral:rRNA from 1 species
GAUGAACGCUGGCGGCGUGCCUAAUACAUGCAAGUCGAGCGAACAGACGAGGAGCUUGCUCCUCUGACGUUAGCGGCGGACGGGUGAGUAACACGUGGAUAACCUACCUAUAAGACUGGGAUAACUUCGGGAAACCGGAGCUAAUACCGGAUAAUAUAUUGAACCGCAUGGUUCAAUAGUGAAAGACGGUUUUGCUGUCAAUUAUAGAUGGAUCCGCGCCGCAUUAGCUAGUUGGUAAGGUAACGGCUUACCAAGGCAACGAUGCGUAGCCGACCUGAGAGGGUGAUCGGCCACACUGGAACUGAGACACGGUCCAGACUCCUACGGGAGGCAGCAGUAGGGAAUUUUCCGCAAUGGGCGAAAGCCUGACGGAGCAACGCCGCGUGAGUGAUGAAGGUCUUCGGAUCGUAAAACUCUGUUAUUAGGGAAGAACAAAUGUGUAAGUAACUAUGCACGUCUUGACGGUACCUAAUCAGAAAGCCACGGCUAACUACGUG